rnacentral:rRNA from 1 species
UACGUAGGGUGCAAGCGUUAAUCGGAAUUACUGGGCGUAAAGCGUGCGCAGGCGGUUUUGUAAGUCUGACGUGAAAUCCCCGGGCUCAACCUGGGAAUUGCGUUGGAGACUGCAAGGCUGGAGUCUGGCAGAGGGGGGUAGAAUUCCACGUGUAGCAGUGAAAUGCGUAGAGAUGUGGAGGAACACCGAUGGCGAAGGCAGCCCCCUGGGUCAAGACUGACGCUCAGGCACGAAAGCGUGGGGAGCAAACAGG